UCACUCUGUUUAUCAAAAACAUUUCCCUAAGCAUAUAAUUUAAGGUAAAACCUGCUCAAUGUAAUAUAUGAAUAGCUGCAGUUAACUGUACUAAGGUAGCAUAAUAAAUAGCUUUUUAAUUAAAAGAUAGAAUGAAAGGUCUAACGGAUUAAAACUGUAUCAUUUCUUGAAAUAAACUUAAAUUAAAAGUAAAAAUUCUUUUAUUAAUAAGAAAGACGACAAGACCCUAAUAAACUUGUGUAUUUUGCUGGGGCGGCAAGAAAAAAAAAUCUUAAUACUAUCGCAUAACUAAUCUAACACAAUUAAUAUGAAAAGUUACUAUAGGGAUAACAGCGCAAUUUUUUUUAAGAGCACUAAUCACAAAAAAAUAAUACGACCUCGAUGUUGAAUUAAUUUAUCCUAACA
rnacentral:rRNA from 1 species